rnacentral:rRNA from 1 species
UACGUAGGGUCCGAGCGUUGUCCGGAAUUAUUGGGCGUAAAGAGCUCGUAGGCGGUCUGUCGCGUCUGCUGUGAAAACUCAGGGCUUAACCCUGAGCUUGCAGUGGGUACGGGCAGACUAGAGUGCGGUAGGGGAGACUGGAAUUCCUGGUGUAGCGGUGAAAUGCGCAGAUAUCAGGAGGAACACCGAUGGCGAAGGCAGGUCUCUGGGCAUUAACUGACGCUGAGGAGCGAAAGCAUGGGGAGCGAACAGG